AGUGAACGCUGGCGGUAGGCCUAACACAUGCCAGUCGAACGGCAGCACAGUAAGAGCUUGCUCUUACGGGUGGCGAGUGGCGGACGGGUGAGGAAUACAUCGGAAUCUACUUUUUCGUGGGGGAUAACGUAGGGAAACUUACGCUAAUACCGCAUACGACCUACGGGUGAAAGCAGGGGAUCUUCGGACCUUGCGCGAUUGAAUGAGCCGAUGUCGGAUUAGCUGGUUGGCGGGGUAAAGGCCCACCAAGGCGACGAUCCGUAGCUGGUCUGAGAGGAUGAUCAGCCACACUGGAACUGAGACACGGUCCAGACUCCUACGGGAGGCAGCAGUGGGGAAUAUUGGACAAUGGGCGCAAGCCUGAUCCAGCCAUACCGCGUGGGUGAAGAAGGCCUUCGGGUUGUAAAGCCCUUUUGUUGGGAAAGAAAAGCAGCAGGUUAAUACCCCGCUGUUCUGACGGUACCUAAAGAAUAAGCACCGGCUAACUUCGUG
rnacentral:rRNA from 1 species